UACGAAGGGGGCUAGCGUUGCUCGGAAUCACUGGGCUUAAAGGGAGCGUAGGCGGGCUAUCAAGUCUGGGGUGAAAUCCCACGGCUCAACCGUGGAACUGCCUCAGAUACUGACGGCCUCGAGGGAGAUAGGGGCAUGCGGAACUGUAGGUGGAGCGGUGAAAUGCGUUGAUAUCUACAGGAACUCCGGUGGCGAAGGCGGCCUGCUGGGCAGUAGCUGACACUGAGGCGCGACAGCGUGGGGAGCAAACAGG
rnacentral:rRNA from 1 species